UACGGAAGGCAGCAGUGGGGGAAUAUUGGACAAUGGGCGGAAGCCUGAUCCAGCCAUGCCGCGUGUGUGAAGAAGGCCUUUUGGUUGUAAAGCACUUUUAAAGCGAGGUAGGAGGCUCUCCUAGUUAAUACCUAGGAAGAGUGGACGUUACUCGCAGAAUAAGCACCGGCUAACUCUGUGCCAGCAGCCGCGGUAAUACAGAGGGUGCGAGCGUUAAUCGGAUUUACUGGGCGUAAAGCGUGCGUAGGCGGCUGAUUAAGUCGGAUGUGUAAAAUCCCUGAGCUUAACUUAGGAAUUUGCAUUCGAUACUGGUCAGCUAGAGUAUGGGAGAGGAUGGUAGAAUUCCAGGUGUAGCGGUGAAAUGCGUAGAGAUCUGGAGGAAUCCGAUGGGCGAAGGGCAGGCCAUCUGGGCCUAAUACUGACGCUGAGGUACGAAAGCAUGGGGAAGCGAAACAGGGAUUAGAUACC
rnacentral:rRNA from 1 species